rnacentral:pre_miRNA from 1 species
AGCCUUCUGUAUGCGUGCUGAAAUUUCGUCACACACCAGAUCACAAGGGCUGAUGAAACUUCCCAGACGAGUGAAAGCU